GACGAACGCUGGCGGCGUGCCUAACACAUGCAAGUCGAGCGGGGGGAGUUCUUCGGAACGAACCUAGCGGCGGGCGGGUGAGUAACACGUGGGCAACCUGCCUUGAGGAGGGGGAUAACAGGAUGAAAGUCCUGCUAAUACCGCAUAACCCGGUGCUGUCGCAUGAUGGCAUCGGCAAAGGAGCAAUCCGCCUCAAGGUGGGCCCGCGGCGCAUUAGCUAGUUGGUGGGGUAACGGCCUACCAAGGCGACGAUGCGUAGCCGACCUGAGAGGGUGAUCGGCCACAUUGGAACUGAGACACGGUCCAGACUCCUACGGGAGGCAGCAGUGGGGAAUAUUGCACAAUGGGCGAAAGCCUGAUGCAGCAACGCCGCGUGAGCGAUGAAGGCCUUCGGGUUGUAAAGCUCUGUCUUCGCUGACGAAAUCUGACGGUAAGCGAGGAGAAAGCCACGGCUAACUACGUG
rnacentral:rRNA from 1 species